rnacentral:lncRNA from 1 species
UUUCACCGUGAUUGUACCCUUGACGUUGAGCACCCGUUAAUGCGCAGCGGGACUUACUGUUUUAGAGGAGAAAACGAGGGCGGAAAGGGGGACUGAGAGGGAGAGAGGCGAGGGGGAGGCGAGAGAACAGGGGUGCGAGUUGGCGCGGGCGGCCUGGGGAUGGAGGAGCCUUUGGGCUGAAUUGCCUGUUUGAUCUCGUCCGCGCUGCGCAGGGGUAGGCCGCUGGAAAGACUGGGUGGCCUGGACAACAGGGUCCGAGGGGAAGAAGGUGUAUUUCUGUUGCUGGACAUGAUGGCCACACAAUCUUGCUUCCCACUUUCCUGUCUACAGGCUCAGUAGAUCCAGAUCGUGUGAGUCUCUUUUAUUCCCGUUUUGCACGUGAGGCCACGGAGGCCGGGAUAGACCAGGAUCGCACACGUCUUGGGGGCCUACUCCGGACUCAAACCUACGUCUCUGUGACUCCAAAACUCAUAUUAUACUAUGACCUAGUAUUUGCUGGUGUAAGACGAAUGGUUCCGUUUUAGCGCAGAUGCAAGCGCCACCUUAUUUGGAGGACAGGCAGGUAGAUCUGCAGGUAGGUAUGUGCUCAGAAUUCUUCCAGGCUCCUAUCUCACGAUGGACAUAAUCAGUUCUAUCUUUACCCUUCGGGAUGUUAAGGAGGCCUUUCAUUAGCAGGAAUCUCUGAAUUCCUAGACCCUCUGCAGAGUAAAUACUUGGGAGCCGUUGUGUCCGGUUAACCCAAGUCUCCUUGUGGCUUGUUAGGGAAAUUCCUUGAGCCCUCGUCUGGUAUCCCGGUGCAAAAUUACUGGGCAGUCCAAUAGGGUUUUUUAAAUCCCCCAAAUUCCCAUUUUUCUACAAAGGGAAAGCUACAGUAGGAGGGGGAGACCAGCAAAGCAAGUGACACUUGAAGGUUUAAUGGGACUCUUGCAACACACUCAGGAAGCUCUGCUGGGCUGUGAAAAAACAUGGGGAUUCUUGGCCCCUUUGCUAUUUUAUAAGGUAUUUACCUGGGGACUAAGGAGAUGGGUACCCAGGUGGCGAUCGUGAUGGGACACUUUGUGGUCCACCCUGUACGUGUGUUCCCUUCCUGCUUCCCCCCAGUGAAUAAAAACGCACACCCUGUUCUCUUAGGCCCUUCAGUAGUUUCAGAAGAUUUCAAGAUGCCACCAAGGAUGUGUUUUGCUUCGGUUGCUGUAUUUACUUCUACUUGAUAUCUAGGCACUGGAGUUACCAGACACACCCAAAUCGCCAUCCCCCAAGAUCAAGAUUUGACAUGCCUCGCCUUCUAAGAAAGUCUGUGGGAAGCCUGCUUCUCAAAUAGUGUUUUACAUGUGUUCCUGUGCAGGGCAGGGGAAUGGGUGUUUAAGUGCUGUGUCGUAGAAUAAUACCUCAGGGUGCUGUUUGAUGGUUCAUUUAUUUCUAAACCUCAUACAGCUCCCAUAUUGAUACCCACCCCCUCCAUGGGAGCCCUAGGAAGUUCUCCUGGUUAUCCUGCCUCUAUUUGUACAGGCUAAGAACUGAAGCCACCAAAAGGGGGGGAUUAGUAAAACCUGGCACCCAAGCCCUGUUUGGUGGGGGGGUGGGCACAUGCCAUCGUGGGCCUGCAGCUCCCAAGGCAGACAGCCAAGAGAGGAGGAAGCCAGUUCCACUGGCCAGCUGGGCGAGUGGCCAUGAACCCCUGCAUUGGAAGGGGCCUCAGUGGUUCGGGCCAUUUUCUCCAGGGUCGUCAACUUCUCUGGUCUGUUGGUCAUGACAGCCUACAGGGGCCCGAGGUCAAGCUUUCCUUAUAUUGAGGAGCAACUGCUGGAGGCUGGUCAGAGCCUCUCCUGCUUCCUGCCAGGCACCCUGAAGGGGAGGGAGGAAUCAGGGGAGUCAAUGCCGUUGGCCCAGAGCUGCUGCCUGCUCUGGCCUUGGAGCCUCUGCUCCUUGUGGGCCACCCUGCACCCUCUCCUGCCAGGGCUUGUCUGCCACCGCCAAGCCUGGGGCCCCAGACCCUUCCUGGCCCUUGUGCCUCUGCUGGAUGCCAUUCCCGGGCAAUGCAGAAGCAAGUCCAGGCGGAUACGAUCCGUGAGAAACAACGGGCCACGGGGAUGUUUGCCAUUUGACGGAGCCCAUGCACAGACAAUGCUUGGCUCCCAGGGCUGGCUCGGGGACAGGGUAGCUCCAGGCCUCUGCUGUGGCAGAACAGUCAGGGAGGUGCUCUGGGUUUUCAGCGCCUCUUAAAUCAUUCCGGGGAGAGAGCCACUUCUGCACGCACAGCCUGCUGCUGGCGCUGUCACAAGAAGAUGAACUACAGGUCAUAAAAUCAAGAUGAAGUUCUGUGUAAAUCUUUCCAGCUCACAAAGAUGGUAGAAAGUUGAAGAUGAAAGGGAUAUGAAAGGCUGUCUCCUUCUACCUCCUCAUUCCACAGCUGUAAAACCCGAGGCCCCGAGGCGGGCUUGCACAGCUCCCCCGGCUCUCCGUCCACGUCCACGUCUCUGCUGUCCACUGCUCCUAGAGCACCUUUCGACUCUUGGAAACAGGAACUGCCAGUUAAAAAGAAUACUACCUAUUUUAUUGAGCCUGAAGGGUUGAGGACAUCACAGACCAGGUAUGAAUUUACUGGUGUUUCAGGUGACAGCAGCCCUAGUCUGUUAUUAUUGUCUUUAACCAUGUGACAUGUUUUGACAAAAUUCAGUAUAAAUCAACAAAAAUCUAGAUUAGAAAAUACUAUACUUGUAUUUCAAAAGAUUUUUCAUUUUGGAAAUAUUGGGUUUCUGGAGGGAUUGAUCAAAAACUGUAUUUUAAUUGCUUAAAAAAUAAAUGUGACCUUUUUUAUUAUUAAAAAAUUUUUUUUGGCCACUUCUGUGGUAUGUGGAAGUUCCUGGGCCAGGGAUUGAACCCGCAUCCUCACGGAUUCCAGUCAGACUCGUUAACCACUGAGCCACAAUGGGAACUCCUGGUGUAUGCUUUUUUAAUGAGGCAAGGCUUUCCUUUUACUAAAUAGCACUAACUGUUGAGUGUUUACACAGAGCUCAGGGAACAUGGAACAUAGAGGUCUGUGUAUUUUUAUAAAUUAAAACAAACAAAAAUACC